rnacentral:snRNA from 1 species
AUACCCUUCUCGGCCUUUUGGCUAAGAUCAAGUGUAGUAUCUGUUCUUAUCAGUUUAAUAUCUGAUACGCCCCCUAUCUGGGGGCCAUAUAUUAAAUGGAGUUUUAGAAAAGGGAGAUGGAAGAAGAGCUUGCUCUGUCCACUCCACGCAUUGACCUGGUAUUGCAGUACCUCCAGGACCGGUGCACCAAAA